rnacentral:rRNA from 1 species
UAGUCCUAGCUGUAAACGAUGAGCACUUGGUUGGGGACUCUCUCAUAGGUUCCCGGCCGUAGCGAAAGUGUUAAGUGCUCCGCCUGGGGAGUAUGUCCGCAAGGAUGAAACUCAAAGGAAUUGACGGGGGCUCACACAAGCGGUGGAGGAUGUGGCUUAAUUCGAGGCUACGCGAAGAACCUUAUCCUAGUCUUGACAUGUACGGAUGUGCUACCUGAAAGGGAUAGUAUUGCCUUCGGGUGAACGUACACAGGUGCUGUAUGGCUGUCGUCAGCUCGUGUCGUGAGAUGUCGGGUUAAGUCCCUUAACGAGCGAAACCCUUGUCACUAGUUGCCAGCGAGUAAUGUCGGGGACUCUAGUGAGACUGCCGGUGUUAAACCGGAGGAAGGUGGGGAUGACGUCAAGUCCUCAUGGCCUUUAUGACUAGGGCUGCACACGUCCUACAAUGGCGCGCACAAAGGGAAGCGAACUACGCGAGAGCAAGCAAAUCCCAAAAACGACGCCUUAGUUCGGU